rnacentral:rRNA from 1 species
UACAGAGGGUGCAAGCGUUAAUCGGAAUUACUGGGCGUAAAGCGUGCGUAGACGGUUACAUAAGUCGGGUGUGAAAGCCCCGGGCUCAACCUGGGAAUUGCAUUCGAGACUGCGUAGCUAGGGUGCGGAAGAGGCUCGCGGAAUUCCCAGUGUAGAGGUGAAAUUCGUAGAUAUUGGGAAGAACACCGGUGGCGAAGGCGGCGAGCUGGUCCAUUACUGACGCUGAGGCGCGACAGCGUGGGGAGCAAACAGG